AUUGAACGCUGGCGGCAUGCUUUACACAUGCAAGUCGAACGGUAACAGGCCUUCGGGUGCUGACGAGUGGCGAACGGGUGAGUAAUGCAUCGGAACGUGCCCAGAGGUGGGGGAUAACGCAGCGAAAGCUGUGCUAAUACCGCAUGUGAUCUGAGGAUGAAAGCGGGGGACCAAGCAGCAAUGUUUGGCCUCGCGCCUCUGGAGCGGCCGAUGUCAGAUUAGGUAGUUGGUGGGGUAAAGGCCUACCAAGCCGACGAUCUGUAGCUGGUCUGAGAGGACGACCAGCCACACUGGGACUGAGACACGGCCCAGACUCCUACGGGAGGCAGCAGUGGGGAAUUUUGGACAAUGGGCGCAAGCCUGAUCCAGCAAUGCCGCGUGCGGGAAGAAGGCCUUCGGGUUGUAAACCGCUUUUGUACGGAACGAAAAGGCUCUGGCUAAUACCUGGGGCUGAUGACGGUACCAUAAGAAUAAGCACCGGCUAACUACGU
rnacentral:rRNA from 1 species